UCCCCAACCUGCGAGGCUACGUGUCAAGUCCUUCGGGUAGCCACGGUGUCCGUCUGUGUCGUAUGAGUUUUGAGGCUUAUCAGGGGUUGAUUAUUAACCAUAUAAGGACAGAGAGUAGGUUGUAGGUACGUAUUGUAUUCUUGAACUUAAGAAUAGUUAUGACCUUGAGUUGUAUCUCCCUUUCAGCUAAAUACCUACCGUGGCUCUGUACAAAUGUUUACAGUUUUAUUCUAUUCUCAUUGUCCUAAUGUUAUUUACAAGAUAAUUAUGUCGUUUUUUCACAUAUAAGAGGUGUUUAGAUGUCGGUUGACCAAGUUGAAAAACCCAAGUUUUCAUAUUUCUUUUUGUCUUCUCCGCAUUCGAGACGAUGAUUCUUUCUUCGUUACGAUAGAACGUCGGAGAACCCUGUCAAUGCCAGUAGCGGCUGGACAUGGACCUUACCUCCUCCUCAACAAUUCUUUCAAUUUUUAUGUUUUUUUUCAUCUUCUCGAUUCGACAUAAUUCGGAGUCUUUCGGCGUUUUUAUAGCAGUAAACCUUAGACUGCCAUUAAGGUUGUAUUUCGAUUAGUAGUAUCCGAGGUUAACGCAAGAUUAUCUUUUGUCCCGGGAUUUGUAGUUUGGAACCCGGUUUUUUAGUUUCUUUGUCCCACAUAGUAGUCUUAUAUUUACUGAAGAGUAAGUGUCCUUUUAUUCGUGACACAGUCUUCCACAGGAUUCUAACAAAGUUCCAAAGUAGGAGACUAUGACUGGUCUAAUUGUUUUUUGACCUGGUUUACUCUUUUUUUAGUUACCACCUAAGUCUACGUUUCUACUGUAGUGUACCCGCCGAAUUCGGCGGGAGCCUAGUUCACAACCUAAUACGUAGUCAUGGAGGAGUACUAGGUUUGUCUAAAACGUCUGAACUUCCGUUCUUAUUCGCUUACGGUUUAUCAGUUGUUGACUUUUCCUCAACGAGUCACCACCGUUAUAAAUUAACCAAGCUAAGACGGUCGCUACAGCAGUUACGAAAGUCUUCUCCCUCGAACAAUAGGAGUAGCGUUGAGAGGUUUUCUUUGUUUGUUUUAGUUUUGUGUCUUUACUUUUCUCUGUCUAGUCCACUUUUAUUGUUACUUGGCGUAUAAUUUUUAUUCUUUUGUUUAAUUCUUAGGUUACUUUGUUCGUACCAAACAACUACGAGUCUAAGAUACCCACAUAUCCUCAGCAAGUGUCCCUAGAGGACAGUCAUGUUCCUUACAAAAUAUUAGUGACGUGGGGGUUUUCAAGUUUUGUGGUUUUAUCACCACGUUGUUCUUGAGCUUAAUAUGUUCUGUUUUCUUUCGUACUUCUUUCUAAUUUGUCCUUAAACCCCCGCUCGCAUUGGGUUCUAGGUAGUCUGCCUAAACACGAGAUUCGCGGUGGACUUAUGGAAAGCCCUCGAACCAUUUGAGUCUAGGUGGUUCUCUUGCCGCCGGCCUGUUACCCUGACUCGAGGGGCUUAGUUUGGUUGUCUUGUAGUUGUGUACUUGUUUGUCUUUUCCUCUUUAGUUAAACAGACACACCGUUCAAUGAUUACUUCGUGGAGGUGAUCAUUUCUUCCGCGAUAGUCGCUUUGAGGGUCUGUAGCCAGAACCGGAGGGUACUUAGUCUUCUUGUCGAUUCGAUCAAUUAGGCCCUAAUACUUCCGGUGACUGUUUUUACUCUUUGUCGUCGGUAUGUUGGUAUCUUUUUGUUUCUAAUCUAAGUUUUACAAAUUCUUGGUUAGGUUGUGGGUCGUUGUCUACACCUCCCACUCUGUGCCACCUCCGAGAUCUAGUCACAUUGCGGGCGUUGCCUUGGUCGUACUUUCUGUUUUAGGUGUUCCAAGAGAGUUUCCGCUGGAUGACAACUGUUCAGAUUACUUUGUUCUACUUCUCCUUUUAUGUUUUCGUAUGAUUACAUCUUCUCUUACUUCGCGGUGACCACAGGUGAUCACUUUCCUUCUCCGUGUACCUGUAGAUUCGGUUUAUAAGAUUAGUAGACAUCUUACAAUAAAGUACCUCUUCUUUUGGAGGGAUCUAUUGUUUUCCCGCUGUAUUCCACCCGUAGUGUAAGAUAACCCGAUGUAGAAUUUUACCUUAUCUUCACAACGUCUCGGUUUAGUUGAGGACCCCUUUUUAGUACAGAGUUUAUCUGCGUAGGGAGCCUAGAGUAUCGAUAACCGUAUGCUAUAAUAUAAUGAGAUAGAAAGAAAUACUACUAUGGUAGGAGUAGAAUUAAAGGAUAAGGUGAGAAUACUUUAUCUCGUACUUGUUAUUGAUCAAAAUUGGUGUUUAGUCUUCUUUAUUUCUGAUGUUACCUAACUUCGAUUUUGAUUA
rnacentral:rRNA from 1 species